GUGAAUCAUCGAAUCUUUGAACGCAAAUUGCACUCUCUGGUAUUCCGGAGAGUAUGCCUGUUUGAGGGUCAGUUCAAAUCAAAAUCGGUGUGGUUGCUGCCUUUCCUGUUGACGCACCGGGUUUGGGUCGUCUUGCCUUCGGUUAAUUGACCGAAAGUUUUGCAGCAUCUUUUUCGAACGUAUUUAAAUGAUGUGACGUACGUUUUCGAUAUCGAAUACUAUGUUUGGUCAUUCUCAUGAUGCGCGCCUA
rnacentral:misc_RNA from 1 species